rnacentral:rRNA from 1 species
CAGUAGCCGCGGUAAUACGAGGGGUGCAAGCGUUAUUCGGAUUGAUUGGGUGUAAAGGGUGUGCAGACGGCUUAUUAAGUCACUUGUUAAAUUCUUCGGCCUAACUGAAGGUCUGCAAGUGAUACUGAUGAGCUAGAGGGUGGAAGAGAGAAGUGGAAUUCUCGGAGUAGCGGUAAAAUGCGUAGAUCUCGAGAGGAACACCAAUGGCGAAGGCAGCUUCUUGGUCCAUUCCUGACGUUCAUACACGAAAGCGCGGGGAGCAAACAGGAUUAGAUACCCCAGUAGUCCCUGUCUCUUAUAC